rnacentral:lncRNA from 1 species
UAUAAUAUUCCUUGAUUCAUUUGAUAAUAUCAAUCUUUUGUCUUUGCUAGGAAGAUAAGAAGCACAAAACAAGACUAGGCUCCAGGCUUACAGUAAAUGAAACCAUAAAGAAAAUAGAAGCUGCAGCAAUGGAUUUAAGUCUGUCAGUUGAAAGGAGGAACAACUUCAAGGUCAAAUCUAGAAAAACCUGAUUCUUCAACAAAUUGUAUUUCUUUUAUUAAGAAAAAUAAAAUUAAUGCAUCUAUAGAAGAACUAAUGAUUAUACAACAUUAUAUCAGAUGACAAUGCAGCCAAAGACAAAGAUGACUAGAUGUACCAGAUCAUAUUAUGACCUAUCAGCAGAGGUAGUUAAUUGUCUAUAUAUGUAUUCCUAAAUAUAUCAAAAGAGAUCUCAUAAUUUUCUGUAAAAAUGUCAGGUAAUUGAGGUUGCUCCCACCAAUUGCGUUAUAGAAAUAUCAAAAUCAGCAGGAGAAGUAAGAUUGUAUUCAGAGGUACAGCUAGUUAAAAUUGAUUAUGUUAAAGCUUAGACAAAAAAAUGAAAAAGAAAAACAAAUGAAUAUGUCUGUUUGAUUAACGGUUAUUAUUUGAUGAUCAGUUCUGCAAAAGCUUAUCAAGUUUACUAACAGAGAAGUCAAAUGCACCAUUGCAAAUCCAAGAUUCAAAUGCAGAAAGCAUUACAAGUAACAAUAUCCAAGAAACAGGAAGGUAAGAAAUUAUCCAUGGCCAGAAUUGAAUGCAACUAUGAUGGAUUGCUACACUCAGCUAACUGAAACUUAUUAAUUAUACAGCACUGAGAAGCAAAAUGACUUUCGGGGAUAUUCAUCCUCUUGAAGCUACUUUCUCUCAACUCUAUACUCCAAAUGCCUAGUUUCUAAAGGUUGCUGAAAGAAAAAUAUGUGCAAAUACAACAGAAAAUUGCUAGUGCAGAACCAUAGUAGAAAAUGUGACAAGUGUUGCACAAUUCCAAGGCAUGAUUUAUAGCAGAAAAGGUGAAACGGGGUGUAAAGCUGUUUGCUUAUUCAUAUGCAACUGUGUGUUUCUCAAUUUUCCCCUCCUCUUUUUUUUUGAACCUCUACCAUCUCAGUCAAAGAUGUAAAGUAAAGGCCAGAAUUCUUCAUUAAUUUUUUUUGAAUGAGAUAAAUGGCCAAAAUUCUUCCUGUGCCUUUGUUUUGUGAAAUGUUAGCCUGAUUUUAUUUGUUCACAGCACAAAAUUACGUCAAAGAGAGAUCAUAAAGCAAAUAUGUACUAAUUGGAUACUCAAAGGAAUAUUUUCAUUAACCUUCUUAACUACUUCAAGAAACAAAUAAAGACUUGGUCAUCCUAAACCUACAACUUCUCUUACAGUUAAUGAAAAAUGAAGCAUGUAGAAUAAUUCAUGUGAGUCAGAAGAUACAAAUAUGGGCAAAUCUUACCAACUUACAUAUUAACCACAUUACCGCCUCUAAUUGAAUCUACUAGAUUAUCAUAUGUGGAUAAUAAUUAGAAUAAAUUGGCAACAAAUGCAAUGAUAAUCAUGUAAUAUGUGAAUUUGGGCCAAUGCGAAAGAGGACUCAAACUAUUCCAUGCUAGACAAGAUGAAAUGACUGCCCAACUUGACAUUUCGCAAGCUGGGUAUGAUAGUUACAAAUAUGAGAAUGAGAAUCCAUGAAACUUCUCUUGAACUUAUUUCAAUGGAAACCAUCAGUCAUAAAAUGAUUAAAAUAUAGGCAUUAAAUUUAGUCCAUAUACAAGAUAAUCAAUCUAUGCCUUGAUGAACAUUAAAGCAUAUGGCCCUGCAGCUUUGUAUAUGUUUUUAUCAAAAGAACGAUUAUCAACCUUCAAAUGCGCGUAUUGAACCUAUAUCUUAUCACAUUACCUGUGGCUUGAAAGUUUCCAAAUUUUUUAUAUAAGGCUAAAGUUGAAACAUUCAUAAAACUACAGGUAUUCAAGAUACGCAAAGGAAUAAAAUAGAAAAGGGAAUACACUGCCCAAGGAAAUAAAAGCUGAAGUAGCGAAGCUAUUUGGUUUUUCUUCAAGGAACUAGCAAAUUACUUGAAUAAAUUAAAUGAAAAUCAAAAUUCGUAUGCACAAGUAAAAAUUUUAAUAAUCUUUCCUCUCCAUUUUAAUUUGUAUUAAUAAAAAAGCCUAUGUAGGAAUUGAACCCACACCUUUUGUUCUAUUGCACAAUGCUCUAACCAUUUGAGCUAAUAGGCUAAGACAAAUACAGGAUAAAUCCAUGAAAACAUAUUAUUGAUUGUCAAUGAUAAAUAGAUGAAAACAUUGUUCUUCUAACCAAUAGAAUAAAUUGACUGUAGAAAAAACCCAGCUCUAAAUUGCAAUAGUUCCAAUAGUCAAGUCAAAAGAUCAAAAGAUAAGGAAACAAAUGAUAUCUAUACAAAAUCAAGAAUAGUUAUAUUACUACCCACAAAUCUACUCUUACUUAUCAUAAUCUUAAUUAUCACAAUCUUACUUAUCAUAAUCACUUUUAUUAUUAUAAUUAUUAUGAAUAAUAUUGACACCAUUGUAUUGCCCAGAAAAAAAAAAAUAUUGAUACCAACAAGCUAGAAAAGAUAUACUGACUAUUGGAUAGCGAUAUUGAAAUUAAAAAUAAAAUAAAAUAAAGAUUUGUAAUUAUUUACCUCAAGUCCUCAACUGAUGAAGCUGUUCUUCUAUGAAUUAUGAGACCUCCCUAACCAGAACUGAACAUCACAUUCACAACAAACGAACUUUGAGCUGUAUUAGUAUUCUCCAAAAUCCUACGGAAACAUUCAUUGAAGCUGAUAAUAUAUUGUCGUUCUUUUGCGACAACAUAUCGACGUUGUUUUCCUGCUCUGCGAUAGUAUAUUGACGUUCGACAUCCAUUGAAGGUGAGGUUGGUACUGAAAAUAGAAAAAAAAUCGAAAUUGCGAGAGUCGAACUCAAACCUACUAAUUUUGUUACGAAUUGUUGCGGAAUUAGUCAAAAUUUUAGGAAGAAUUUUGUGGUUUUGAUGGCUUCUCUAUUCAAUUUCACCGUUCCCGUCGAUGCUUUGUAGACAAUUUUGGGCCACCAUGGAUCGCGAAAGGCUUUGGCGGUGGCAGUGUCGCUGACUGGAACAAGCGCCUACAGAUAGGCUACUUAACGUCUCUCUCUCAUCCCUUUCUUUUGUCCGUCACAUUCUUUUGUGUUAUAAUUAGCAAGUUAUAGAUCCUUUGUUAGCUAAAUGCAAAAUAGUGUGCAGAAGAGUUUCUCUUAAAGCUAAUGUUAUUGUAAAUAAUUUUUAAACAUAUUAUACAUCCGUGUAUAAAAUUUUA